rnacentral:rRNA from 1 species
GACGAACGCUGGCGGCGUGCUUAACACAUGCAAGUCGAACGAUGAAGCGGUGCUUGCACCGUGGAUUAGUGGCGAACGGGUGAGUAAUACGUGAGUGACCUACCUUUGACUCUGGGAUAAGCCUGGGAAACUGGGUCUAAUACCGGAUACGACCAAUCUCUGCAUGGGGUGUUGGUGGAAAGCGUUAUGGAGUGGUUUUAGAUGGGCUCACGGCCUAUCAGCUUGUUGGUGAGGUAAUGGCUUACCAAGGCGACGACGGGUAGCCGGCCUGAGAGGGUGACCGUCCACACUGGGACUGAGACACGGCCCAGACUUCCUACGGGAGGCAGCAGUGGGGAAUAUUGCACAAUGGGCGCAAGCCUGAUGCAGACGACGCCGCGUGAGGGAUGACGGCCUUCGAGGUUGUAAACCUCUGUUAGCAUCGAAGAAUGCGAAAGUGACGGUAUG